rnacentral:sRNA from 1 species
CUAACUAGCUGCGUGGGAUGCCCAAGCAUAUUUAAUGUACCGAUCCGCUCUUUUGCUUUCUGACUGAUAAACGCGACAUUUUGUAAGGUUCUUGGUUGCAAAUAUGUGCCAAGUGGAAACUCGGCAAUCAGCUAUCAGCUAUAUGCUAUGUCCGGGAUGUUUGUUGCUCAAACACUGAAAGUUAGUCGCCAUCCAUGCCGGUGAAGGUUUUAACCUUAACGGGAGCACCCCGCCCCAGUGCUCUCAAGUGGGAUGAGUCAGAGCUUCUGAACGAAUGCUGGUUUUGCAGCCUUAGUUUUGUUGAUGGAUGUCGUGCUACAACGGCGGGCUCGGUUCGUUGGCGGCGUGUUGAGGAACGCGAGGGGCAUUACGGCUUCCCAGGAGAGCAUGACAAAGUUGACAAGAUUCAUGAUGAUGAUAAUAUGAAUGAUGGAGAUACGGAGUUUUUUGCACUGGGUGGUGCGAUUGAGGCGCACACUGGUUUACAGGCAACAAUGGAUACUCAGGUGGAAACUGGGUCGGAAUUCUACGACCAUUCCUUUGCCCUGCAUGAAGGAGGAGGGGAUUCUAGUAUACCGAGCGGGAUGGAAUCAUUUUACGCAGAAUCCAACUUCGAGACUACAUUGGACGAUACCAGUAUAGUCAGUAGGGCGGACCACUUGACGGAGUAUCAUAACAGCCCUCAGCAUCCUCUGCCACCACCUUUAACAGGAAAUUUGAGUAAUCUAGAAGAUAUCCCUAACGCUGCUUAUCUCCAUUCGAUUUCCCCUCGGAUGAUCCCUAUCAACCUGAUCGUGGCGAUAAUCACAAUAUACCCUCGCAAACGAGUACGAACUCGUUGGGGUUAUGAGACCGAGGUUGUCGAGUUUGUGGUGGGUGAUGAAACGAGGUCGGGAUUUCAGAUCACUUGUUGGUUGCCGCUCAAGGGUGAACCGCGAGAUGGCGCGAAGGAAGAUCUCUAUGGGUCGAUACUAGGGUUGCGUCCACGAGAUAUCGUUCUUUUCCGGUCUGUGGCGCUAAACAGCUUUCGGGGUAAGGUUUAUGGCCAGACUUUGAAGGGUAACAUGACGAAAGUUGACCUUCUGCAUCGUGCGCUCGUUGGCCCUGACGAUGAUGGGGGUCUGUUCACUCUCCAGGCCCUUGCUGACGGAACGACCGAUUGUCACCCACAACUAGUGAAGGUGCGCAGAGUUAGAGAUUGGAUUUUAAAUUUCAUCAGUCCUCAUAUUUAUGGAAAGGUCGGGCAAUCGUCAGUUCGACCCGGAGUGCCAGGAGACGAAAGGUGUCUCCCACCAGAUACCCAAUAAGUGAGAAAGAAUUUUAUUGAUCACGUUUUGGCAAAGAACUAGAAUUUACGUUCUCGGCUUGGGGUCCAAAGGUGGUUGGUUAACUUUCGGCGUGUUUAAACCCUCCAUUUCCACCGUUUGCAGUGGGAAGCCGUGCAAGACAAAGAUCCCUGGAUCAUCAUCAUAUGAUGGCAUGGGGAAGGAUAUUCCGGACUGACUUUUUGUAUUUUAGUCGUUGGCUCGAUGUUUCGCAGUGCAAAUUUAGGGGAUGUUUUUGGUCAUGAGAUGGAGAACGACCAUUGGAGAGCGCUAAGUUUCAGGGACAUUCAAUUAUGUUUUUGCUAAUAUUUUGUUUAAAUUUUUUUUUUUUUUUUAAUUUUCUUGGAAGGUGUCGAGAUCAAGUCGUCAGAAUCCAAGUUUCAAUGCUACCCAUUAUUUCCACUACAGCUUUUUGGUUACUUGAGUUGUAUCUUUAAUAGACAAGCGUUCUUUGUCCUCGUCCUCCACAUUGAACAAUUUUCCCCGUG